rnacentral:tRNA from 1 species
GCGCGUCUGAUGUAACGGUAGCAUGCAGGUCUCCAAAACCUUGCAGUGUCGGUUCAAAUCCGGCGGCGUCGCGCCA